UUUAAAAUGAGAGUUUGAUCCUGGCUCAGGACGAACGCUGGCGGCGUGCCUAAUACAUGCAAGUCGAACGAAACUUUCUUACACCGAAUGCUUGCGUUCACCGUAAGAAGUUGAGUGGCGGACGGGUGAGUAACACGUGGGUAACCUGCCUAAAAGAAGGGGAUAACACUUGGAAACAGGUGCUAAUACCGUAUAUCUCUAAGGAUCGCAUGAUCCUUAGAUGAAAGAUGGUUCUGCUAUCGCUUUUAGAUGGACCCGCGGCGUAUUAACUAGUUGGUGGGGUAACGGCCUACCAAGGUGAUGAUACGUAGCCGAACUGAGAGGUUGAUCGGCCACAUUGGGACUGAGACACGGCCCAAACUCCUACGGGAGGCAGCAGUAGGGAAUCUUCCACAAUGGACGCAAGUCUGAUGGAGCAACGCCGCGUGAGUGAAGAAGGUCUUCGGAUCGUAAAACUCUGUUGUUAGAGAAGAACACGAGUGAGAGUAACUGUUCAUUCGAUGACGGUAUCUAACCAGCAAGUCACGGCUAACUACGUGCCAGCAGCCGCGGUAAUACGUAGGUGGCAAGCGUUGUCCGGAUUUAUUGGGCGUAAAGGGAACGCAGGCGGUCUUUUAAGUCUGAUGUGAAAGCCUUCGGCUUAACCGGAGUAGUGCAUUGGAAACUGGAAGACUUGAGUGCAGAAGAGGAGAGUGGAACUCCAUGUGUAGCGGUGAAAUGCGUAGAUAUAUGGAAGAACACCAGUGGCGAAAGCGGCUCUCUGGUCUGUAACUGACGCUGAGGUUCGAAAGCGUGGGUAGCAAACAGGAUUAGAUACCCUGGUAGUCCACGCCGUAAACGAUGAAUGCUAGGUGUUGGAGGGUUUCCGCCCUUCAGUGCCGCAGCUAACGCAAUAAGCAUUCCGCCUGGGGAGUACGACCGCAAGGUUGAAACUCAAAGGAAUUGACGGGGGCCCGCACAAGCGGUGGAGCAUGUGGUUUAAUUCGAAGCAACGCGAAGAACCUUACCAGGUCUUGACAUCCUUUGACCACCUAAGAGAUUAGGCUUUCCCUUCGGGGACAAAGUGACAGGUGGUGCAUGGCUGUCGUCAGCUCGUGUCGUGAGAUGUUGGGUUAAGUCCCGCAACGAGCGCAACCCUUGUUGUCAGUUGCCAGCAUUAAGUUGGGCACUCUGGCGAGACUGCCGGUGACAAACCGGAGGAAGGUGGGGACGACGUCAAGUCAUCAUGCCCCUUAUGACCUGGGCUACACACGUGCUACAAUGGACGGUACAACGAGUCGCGAGACCGCGAGGUUUAGCUAAUCUCUUAAAGCCGUUCUCAGUUCGGAUUGUAGGCUGCAACUCGCCUACAUGAAGUCGGAAUCGCUAGUAAUCGCGAAUCAGCAUGUCGCGGUGAAUACGUUCCCGGGCCUUGUACACACCGCCCGUCACACCAUGAGAGUUUGUAACACCCAAAGCCGGUGGGGUAACCGCAAGGAGCCAGCCGUCUAAGGUGGGACAGAUGAUUGGGGUGAAGUCGUAACAAGGUAGCCGUAGGAGAACCUGCGGCUGGAUCACCUCCUUUCUAAGGAA
rnacentral:rRNA from 2 species